CCGGUGACAAACCGGAGGAAGGUGGGGAUGACGUCAAGUCCUCAUGGCCCUUAUAGGUGGGGCUACACACGUCAUACAAUGGCUGGUACAAAGGGUUGCCAACCCGCGAGGCGGAGCCAAUCCUGAAAGCAGGCCUCAGUUCAGAUUGCAGUCUGCAACUCGACUGCAUGAAGCCGGAGUUGCUAGUAACCGCAGGUCAGCAAUACUGCGGUGAAUACGUUCCCGGGUCUU
rnacentral:rRNA from 1 species